UUAAGUGAACAUGGUAGUGAGGAAAGUAUCAAGAUUACAGACUGGAUUCCUGGAGCAGAUGAGUAGACCUUCAUGGCCAGACAACAGAACAAACUGACCAAGUCCAUGUAGCCAACUCUGCAGUCAAAACCAAAGGGCUGGGACUCAGAAGGUUUCAUUUGUUAAUUUAACUGCGAGUAAAUAAAGAAAUGCUGUUGGCCUUAUUAAUCACAGUGCAGGCCUGAGGGAUAACGGCAGAUGACUCAUGGACCAGACACCAGUGACAGUGCAUUACUUUGUGUCUGUUGGCCAAGUGUUAUUGACUGAAAUCACUGGCUCUACCUCAGUUCACUACAGCAAAGUGUCUGGUCUUGCUUGGAUUUUCUUGAGAAAUGACCUUCAUUGUUCUUAUCCACAUUCUCACUUUAUACAAUCUUGUGUAUGUGCCAAAGUCACCUCCCCUGCAAGGGCGGACAGAUUUAGGGAUGCUCAAAAUGGCACAGAGAAGGUGUUUGGUUUGAUCUCCUGCUUUUGCUUAACUGGCUAGCAAGAAUUCAGAGUGAGCAAGUCAGCUCAGGAAUGAGAAGGACCUGAAGAGAUCAAA